AUGCAGUGCUCAGCUGUGCUGCAGAGUAACGACAAAGGCUGGGAGGAGAGGAAGUGGCUCACAGGCAGCUGAAGGUGUCAUUUUAAACAACGUGCUCUAAGUUAGCCUCAGAUGAGACUCUAGGAGAAGGCAUGGUGUUUCUUCUUGAUUGUCACUGUAUCCCAGGGGUACACGCACCCCAACCAGAGGCUUUGGAGGGUGUGCUUCCUGCCACCCUCAAGGGAGUUGUCUCUGUCAAGCUAACGGAUCCCGAGUUCCGGGGUGCCAGGCCGUAGUCUGCUUCAUUUUUAUCUGCACAAUAACCCGUGAGCCCAUACCAUCACCCCAUUUCACAGCUGAAGAAAUGGAUGCCCAGACAGGAUAAGUAGUUUGUACUAGAGGAUAACUACCUGGCUAACAAACCAACUAGUUAACUGGUUGGCCAGGAUUCAAAAUCUGACCCGCUUCAGAAUCGGGACUCGGACCACAGCGUGGCUUCAGAGAGCUCCUUCACCUGUGCUGGGCGUGCGUUGCCGUCGGGGAUGCGGCGGUGGUUAGCACACGUUCUCUUCACUCCCUGAACACAGAGGCUAGAGAACAGACCUGCAGACACACAGUGCCAGUGCUUGGCAGACACAAUCCUGGACGUCUGUGCUGUUAGGAACCGUCUGACGGGCGCCAGCAUCAGGCCUCGCUGCACACGGGCCUUGGAGCAAGCACAGCACCUGCUCAACAGCCAGCUCUGAGCACGGACCCUGCUUCCACCCUUCAGACAAACCAGCCACCAAGAGGCAUUUCUGGUCAUCAUCGAGCAUGACUCACCUUCAG
rnacentral:lncRNA from 1 species